UACGUAGGGUGCAAGCGUUAAUCGGAAUUACUGGGCGUAAAGCGUGCGCAGGCGGCUUUGCAAGACAGAUGUGAAAUCCCCGGGCUUAACCUGGGAACUGCAUUUGUGACUGCAUGGCUGGAGUGCGGGCAGAGGGGGAUGGAAUUCCGCGUGUAGCAGUGAAAUGCGUAGAUAUGCGGGAGGAACACCGAUGGCGAAGGCAAUCCCCUGGGCCUGCACUGACUCAUGCACAA
rnacentral:rRNA from 1 species